rnacentral:rRNA from 1 species
UACGGGGGGGGGGGCAAGCGUUGUUCGGAAUUACUGGGCGUAAAGGGCUCGUAGGCGGCCAACUAAGUCGGAUGUGAAAUCCCCAGGCUCAACCUGGGAACUGCAUCCGAUACUGGAUGGCUUGAAUCCGGGAGAGGGAUGCAGAAUUCCAGGUGUAGCGGUGAAAUGCGUAGAUAUCUGGAGGAAUACCGGUGGCGAAGGCGGCAUCCUGGACCGGCAUUGACGCUGAGGAGCGAAAGCCAGGGGAGCAAAGCGGG